CCUGUCCCCAGAGGUGUUGUAGGUGUGGCUGCUUUGCCUAGUGUUCCUUAGUAGGUGGGAGAGAGGAGAGAGGAGAGAGGCUGUCCUAUGCUCAGUGUUCUGACUAAGCACAUCUCAAUGAUUAGCAGCCUAACAUU
rnacentral:snoRNA from 1 species